UGGGAGGACGCGCCACUGGAAGAUGCUGGUGUCCUUGCCCCCCAUGGAGAUGAGGAAGCUGUCGUCGUGGGUGAAGCGCACGUUGGUGACGUGGCUCCCGUGGCCCCGGUAGACGUGGCUCGGAGCCUGCAGAAGAAAAGAUGCCUCCUGUUGACAUUUCCAUGCCAGAGCCAAUUAAGGAUGCCCUUGAGACGGUGCAGGCUCUCCCAGGAUCUCUGGAAGGUUUACUGUUUGAUCGAAGGGCUUUCCUGAAAACAGACCGCUCUCAAAGGCAACGUUUAAGAAGUGUCAGAUUAGCAGAGCGAGGCGAUUGUGGCUAAACCCAGUUCUCUUGGGAAGAAUUAGGGAGGCAGGCACCUGGCGCGAUGUUUUUGGCAGCUCAAUUCUCUUGGGAAGUAUUGGGGAGUCAAGCACCUGCUUUGGGGGAAGCUAUGAACUUCAUUAAAAGGCUUGCGCUGAGAAUCUUCUGUGCGGUGUAAACUUAACUUCUGACUGAAAAGCAUCGUCGUAUCUUGUUCCUGAUUUCCAAGCGGCCUGACGGUGCGCUUACUCUGGAGUAGACCGGGUGUUGGUUUACCUUCUUGCCAAGUUGGGACUGCGUUUCAGCUCCUGAACAUCUAGUUUUGCCUUGCCUUGCAAUACGAAUUGGACCUCUAUUCUAAAGGACUCCUCUAGUUCUCUACUCCUUACCCCACUCAAAACUCAGAUGGAGUUUGAGUGUGUUUCGGUUUCUGGAUUUUGAACUCUAAUACUGGGCAUAAGACUUUAUCUUAUUGGACUAAAAUUGAUCUUUCCUGGAAGGUCGAUUGCUACUUCUAUUUUACUGCUUAUUUCCAUUUGGAACUUUAUUUGCUUUAAUAAAAAUAUUAUAUUGUUAUUGGCUUCUGUGUUGGUUCCCAGUGUUUGCGCCGCCCAGGAGUGUUACAUGUGGAAUGUUGGGAGGACUUGUUGCUUUUCCCUUUGCAGGGAACAUGUGUCCGGAGAGUUAUGGUGUUUGGAGUUGUAAAUAGCCUUGUAUAUAAAUAAAGCCUAGUACCGCUGGGAUCAGCAGAUAAUCUACGGCUGUGGUGUUGGGUUUGUCAGUGCUACUGUGCAAGAUUCUCAUCUCUCCCCUGCUCCCACCCUGACAAAAAUGUCCCCGAAUGAAAGCCUUCCCUUGGGUGGUGGGCAGGGUGGUGUUUGAGGAGGGCACUGGCGGGGCUCUUGGACAUGUUCACGCCGCUCACUAUAACUGGGGUGUCUGUGGUGGAGGAAACACACAUCCCAUCCCCCCCUACUUCUGGCUACCUUGGGUUUGGCACACGGGUACUGGAAAAGGUGCACUUUGCAGAAAUCAUCGGCCACGGCCACGACCCGCUCGUUGUGGGACCGGCAGAGAGAGUUGAUGUCGGUGCCGUCGGAGCCGUCGGGCCACACCCCUGCGGAUAACAAUUGGGGAGAAAGGGGGAAUGAGAAAUAAUAAUAAUAAUAAUAAUAAUAAUAAUAAUAAUAAUACAUGCCAGGUUGACCUCGAGAAACUCUACCAGUACAUAAAGUUUGUUAUGUUGGGCAAUAAUAAUAAUAAUACAUGCCAGGUUGACCUCGAGAAACUCCAUCAGUACUUAAAAGUUUGUUAUGUUGGGAAAGAACAACAACAGCAGCAACAACAGCAACAUUAAUAAUAAUACAUGCCAAGUUGACCCCGAGAAACUCCACCAGUACUUAAAGUUUGUUAUGUUGGGCAAUAAUAAUAAUAAUAAUAAUAAUAAUAAUAAUAAUAAUAAUAAUUGUUAUUAUUAUUAUUAUUAUUAUUAUUAUUAAUACAUGCCAGGUUGACCCCGAGAAACUCCAUCAGUACUUAAAAGUCUGCUAUGUUUGGCAAUAAUAAUAAUAAUAAUAAUAAUAAUAAUAAUAAUACAUGCCAGGUUGACUCUGAGAAACUCCAUCAGUACUUAAAAGUUUGUUAUGUUGGGCAAUAAUAAUAAUAAUAACAAUAAUAAUACAUGCCAGGUUGACCCCGUAUCAGUAUGUAAAGUUUGUUAUGUUGGGCAAUAAUAAUAAUAAUAAUAACACAUGCCAGGUUGACCCCGUAUCAGUAUGUAAAGUUUGUUAUGUUGGGCAAUAAUAAUAACAAUAAUAAUACAUGCCAGGUUGACCCCGUAUCAGUAUGUAAAGUUUGUUAUGUUGGGCAAUAAUAAUAAUAAUAAUAAUAAUAAUAAUAAUAAUAAUAAUAAUAAUAAUACAUGCCAGGUUGACCCCGUAUCAGUAUGUAAAGUUUGUUAUGUUGGGCAAUAAUAAUAAUAAUAACAAUAAUAAUACAUGUCAGGUUGACCCCGUAUAAGUAUGUAAAGUUUGUUAUGUUGGGCAAUAAUAAUAAUAAUAAUAAUAAUAAUAAUAAUAAUAAUACAUGCCAGGUUGACCCCGUAUCAGUAUGUAAAGUUUGUUAUGUUGGGCAAUAAUAAUAAUAAUAAUAAUAAUAAUAAUAAUAAUAAUACAUGCCAGGUUGACCCUGAGAAACUCCAUCAGUACUUAAAGUUUGUUAUGUUGGGAUAAUAAUAAUAAUAAUAAUAAUAAUAAUAAUAAUAAUAAUAAUAAUAAAUACAUGCCAGGUUGACCUCGAGAAAUGCCAUCAGUAUGUAAAGUUUGUUAUGCUGGGCAAUAAUAAUAAUAAUAAUAAUAAUAAUAAUAAUAAUAAUAAUAAUAAUACAUGCCAGGUUGACCCCGUAUCAGUAUGUAAAGUUUGUUAUGUUGGGCAAUAAUAAUAAUAAUAAUAAUAAUAAUAAUAAUAAUAAUAAUAAUACAUGCCAGGUUGUCCCCGAGAAACUCCAUCAGUAUGUAAAGUUUGUUAUGUUGGGAUAAUAAUAAUAAUAAUAAUAAUAAUAAAUGCUAGGUUGACCCCGAGAAACUCCAUCAGUACUUAAAGGUUUGUUAUGUUGGGAUAAUAAUAAUAAUAAUAAUAAUAAUAAUAAUAAUAAUAAUAAUAAUACAUGCCAGGUUGACCCCGUAUCAGUAUGUAAAGUUUGUUAUGUUGGGCAAUAAUAAUAAUAAUAGUAAUAGUAAUAAUAAUACAUGCCAGGUUGACCCUGAGAAACCCCAUCAGUACUUAAAGUUUGUUAUGUUGAGAAAGAACAAUAAUAAUAAUAAUAAUAAAUGCCAAGUUGACCCCGAGAAACCCCAUCAGUACUUAAAGUUUGUUAUGUUGGGAAAGAACAAUAAUAAUAAUAAUAAUAAUAAUAAUAAUAAUAAUAAUAAUAAAUGCCAAGUUGACCCCCGAUAAACUCCAUCAGUAUUUAAAGUUUGUUAUGUUGGGAUAAUAAUAAUAAUAAUAAUAAUAAUAAUAAUAAUAAUAAUAAUAAUAAUAAUACAUGCCAGGUUGACCCCGAGAAACUCCAUCAGUACUUAAAAGUUUGUUAUGUUGGACAAUAAUAAUAAUAAUAAUAAUAAUAAUAAUAAUAAUAAUACAUGCCAAGUUCACUCUGAAAAACUCCAUCAUUACGUAAAGUUUGUUAUGCUUCUGAUGCGAUAAAUAAAUAUAACUUUCCUUCCAAACUUACCAAAGACGUGGAAGCCCAGCACACAGGUGUAUGAGCUCCACUCCCGGUCUCGGUUCUCAAACCGGUUCCUGAGCAGCUUGCAGCCUUUGGCCACGUCCCCUGCAGACAAAACAAAAACCACGAGGAAAUUUCUUUAUUUCUGCAGUCCUUACUAACAAGGGAGGGAGCAAGUUUAUGAGCCACCUUGGGAUAAGCAAGAUACUUACAGUAAAGGAUUUCGUAGUCCCCUGAAUUCGACAUGAUGAAUUUCCCAUCCUUGGACCAGUCCAGAUGUGUGAUGAAACUGGAGUGUCCCUAUAAUAAUGGGGAAGAAGAGAAACGGAGGGCUGAUUUGGAGGUACCGUAUAUACUCGAGUAUAAGCCGACCCGAAUAUAAGCCGAGGCACCUAAUUUUACCACAAAGAAACUGGGAAAACAUUGACUCCAGUAUAAGCCGAGGGUGGUAAAUUUCAGAAAUAAAAACAGAUACCGAUAAAAUUACACUAAUUGAGGUAUCAGUAGGUUAAAUGUUUUUGAAUAUUUACAUAAAGCUCUAAUUUAAGAUAAGACUGUCCAACUCUGAUCCAAUCAUUAUUCUCAUCUUCUUCAAUGUAAAUGUGCUUACGUAUCCUUUUAAUAAUAAUAGAGUAAAAUAAUAAAUGUAAUAAUAAAUAAAUAAUCAGCUGAUGACCCAAAAUGCAGACUGUGCAAGGAAACUGACGAAACCAUGGAUCAUAUCCUCAGCUACUGUAAGAAAAUUGCACAGACAGACUACAAACAGAGGCACAACUACAUGGCCCAAAUGAUUCAUUGGGACUUAUGCCUCAAGUACCACCUGCCAGCAGCAAAGAACUGGUGGGAUCACAAACCUGCAAAAGUAUUGGAAAAUGAGCACGCAAAGAUACUUCCGAAUCCAGACUGACAAAGUUCUGGAACACAACACACCAGACAUCACAGUUGUGGAAAAGAAAAAGGUUUGGAUCAUUGAUGUUGCCAUCCCAGGUGACAGUCGCAUUGACGAUAAACAACAGGAAAAACUCAGCCGCUAUCAGGACCUCAAGAUUGAACUUCAAAGACUCUGGCAGAAACCAGUACAGGUGGUCCCGGUGGUGAUGGGCACACUGGGUGCCGUGCCAAAAGAUCUCAGCCGGCAUUUGGAAACAAUAGACAUUGACAAAAUUAAGAUCUGCCAACUGCAAAAGGCCACCCGACUGGGAUCUGCACACAUCAUCCGAAAAUACAUCACACAGUCCUAGACACUUGGGAAGUGUUGGACUUGUGAUUUUGUGAUACCAAAAGCAGCAUAUCUAUUUUGUUUGCUGUGUCAUAAUAAAAUAAUAAUAAUAAUAAAUAGAGUAAAAUAACAAAUAUAACAAUAAUAAUAAGAUCAGAGUGAAAUAAUAAAUGUAUUAAUUAUACAGUAGAGUCUCACUUAUCCAAGCUAAACGGGCCGGCAGAAGCUUGGAUAAGCGAAUAUCUUGGAUAAUAAGGAUUAAGGAAAAGCCUAUUAAACAUCCAAUUAGGUUAUGAUUUUACAAAUUAAGCACCAAAACAUAAUGUUAUACAAUAAAUUUGACAGAAAAAGUAGUUCAAUAGCCAGUAAUGCUAUGUAGUAAUUACUGUGUUUACGAAUUUAGCACCAAAAUAUCAUGAUGUAUUGAAAACAUUGACUGCAAAAAUGUGUCGGAUAAUCCAGAACGUUGGAUAAGUGAGACUCUACUGUAGUAGCAACAAUAAUAGAGAAAAAUAAUAAAUGUAAUAGUAGCAACAAUAAUAGAUUACAAUAAAUGUAAUAGUAGCAACAAUAAUAGAGAAAAAUAAUAAAUGUAAUCAUACCAAUAAUAAUAGAGAAAAAUAAUAAAUGUAACAAUAUCAAUAAUAAUAGAGAAAAAUUAUAAAUGUAACAAUACCAAUAAUAAUAGAGAAAAAUAAUAAAUGUAACAAUACCAAUAAUAAUGGAGAAAAAUAAUAAAUGUAAUAAUACCAACAAUAAUAGAGAAAAAUAAUAAAUGUAAUAAAACCAAAAAGAGAAAAAUAAUAAAUGUAACAAUACCAAUAAUAAUAGAGAAAAAUAAUUAAUGUAAAAUACCAAUAAUAAUAGAGAAAAAUAAUAAAUGUAACAAUACCAACAAUAGAGAAAAAUAAUAAAUGUAACAAUACCAAUAAUAAUAGAGAAAAAUAAUAAAUGUAAUAAUACCAACAAUAAUAGAGAAAAAUAAUAAAUGUAACAAUACCAAUAAUAAUAGAGAAAAAUAAUAAAUGUAAUAAUACCAACAAUAAUAGAGAAAAAUAAUAAAUGUAAUAAUACCAAUAAUAAUAGAGAAAAUAUUAAAUGUAAUAAUAAUAGUAAGAUCAGAGUGAAAUAAAUAUAUUAUUAUUAAUAAUAAUAAUAGAGUAAAAUAAAUGUAAUAGUAGCAACAAUAAUAGAGAAAAAUAAUAAAUGUAAUAUACCAAUAAUAAUAGAGAAAAAUAAUAAAUGUACCAUAUAUUCUCGAGUAUAAGCUGACCCAAAUAUAAGCCAACCAGGACCCUCACCCGAGUAUAAGCCGAGGGGGGCUUAAAAAAAGGGCUGAAAAACUAGGCUUAUACUCGAGUAUAUACAGUAUCUAACUCCAGUUUCUAUUGCAAGAAAGAUAUAAUUCUGCUCACGGUGCAGCGGCCAAAGCGGCUGUAUUUGUGCCCACUCUCCUCCACGUUGUAUAUGUAGAUGAAGUUGUCGUGAGAGCCGAUAGCCAAGAAAUCCCCAUCUGGAAGAAGAGAAAAAACCCAAAGUCAUAAGAAGAGAAGGAUGGAAGUAAAGCACAAGGGCUGGAUUGGGAAAGGAAUAAUAUUCGAGGAGGAAACAAGAGUCUAACCUGGUGAAUAGCGCACCACCGAGAGUUGCUCGUUCCCGUCGGUGUAGCCUGACAGCACUUGCCGGGUCUCGGUGUCUACUACAACCCAACUAUAGGGAAGAAACAAAUAGUAUUUUUAGUGGCUAACUAUGGGCUCUAUAUACACCAGGGGUCCCCAAACUAAGGCCCGGGGACCCUCCGAGGUCAUUUACCUGGCCCCCGCCCUCAGUUUUAUAAUAUAAUAUAUUGUAUAUGCAUAUAAUAUUGAUAAUAAUAUUAUAAUGUAAUACAAUAUAACACUAAUAAUAACACCAUAUAAUAAUAUUAAUUAUAUAUUCUAUAUUACAUAUAAUAUUACUAAUAAUAUUACAGUAUAGUGGUAUAGUUCAAUAUAGUAAUAUAUAAUGCUGAUAUAUAUUGUGCUAUGCUAAUAAUAUAAUAUAUUGUAUAUACAUAUAAUUUGUAAGCCAGUCUGAGUCCCCUUUGGGGUGAGAAGGGUGUGAUACAAAUGUAGUAAAUAAAUGCAGUAAAUAAUAAAUAAAUAAAUUUUAGACUUAGGCUCACCCAAAGUCUGAAAUGACUUGAAGGCACACAACAACAACAACAACAACAACAACAACAACAACAACAACCCUAAUUAACUUGACUAUCUCAUUGGCCAGAAGCAGGACCACACUUCCCAUUGAAAUCCUGAUAAAUGUAUGUUGGUUAAAAUUGUUUUUAUUUUUAAAUAUUGUAUUGUUCUUUCAUUGUUCUUGUUGUUGUUUUUGCACUACAAAUAAGACAUAUGCAGUGUGCAUCGGAAUUUAUUUGUAUUUUUUUCAAAUGAUAAUCCGGCCCCUCAACAGUCUAAAGGAUUGUGGACCGGCCCUCGGCUUAAAAAGUUUGGGGACCCCUGAUAUACACAAUAGGACUGUCCCCAUAGCCAAAAAGGCAGUGCAUAAAAAGCCAAAUUCUAAUCAUUGGGGUGAAAGAAGUCAUUACUGCUCUUUUAUCUACAGCAAUUGCAGUAUUUUAUUGUUUUAAUUGAAUUUAUAAUGUUGUUUUGAUUGUUGAUUGCCUAUGUUUUGUUCCGCACGUGUUGUAUUUUGUGUUUUGUGAGCCAUCCCAAGUCCCCCCGAUGGUGGCGGGGUAUAAUUAUCAUUAUUUAUAUAUUAUAUUAAUUAUCUAUAUAUAUAAAAGGGUAAUGAAAUUUCGGCCUAGGACAAAACAACAAAACUACACAUCCCAGAAACACUAAACUUGGCAGCACAACCCCUCAUCCAUGCCUCUACGUUCAUACAACAAAAAGAAAAGAAAAAGAAAGUCCUAAUUAGAGGGAGAGGAAUAAUUGUUUUUAUCCAAUUGCUGCCAGUUAGAAGGCUAAGCUCUGCCCACUUGGUCUCCUAGCAACCCACUCAGCCCAGGGGACAGGCAGAGUUAGGCCUCACUUAGGCCUCUUCCACACUGCCUAUAAAAUACAGAUUAUCUGAUUUGAACUGGAUUAUAUGGCAGUGUAGACUCAAGGCCCUUCCACACAGCUAUAUAACCCAUUUAUAAUGGACUUCAUGUAAGGUAAAACCUUUACCCUUUACCUUAACUACCACCAAUUCCUCAAUACUUUUAUUUCCCUUUCCACCAGACUUCGCCACAGCAACGUGUGGCCGGGCACAGCUAGUAUAUUAUAUUUUAUGUAAUAUUACUAAUAAUAUUACAAUAUAUUGAUACAGUACAAUAUGGUAAUUUAUUACCAGUAUUGUACUAUGCUAAUAAUAUAAUAUUGUAUGUAAAUUUAAUUUGUAAGCUGCUCUGAGUCCUCUUCGGGGUGAGAAGGGCGGGAUAUAAAUGUAGUAAAUAUAUAUAUAUUAUUACUAUAUAUACUCGAAUAUAAGCCUAGUUUUUCAGCCCUUUUUUUAAGACUGAAAAAGUCCCCCUCGGCUUAUACUCAGGUGAGGGUCCUGGUUGGCUUAUAUUUGGGUCAGCUUAUACUCGAGAACAUAUGGUACAUUUAUUAUUUUUCUCUAUUAUUGUUGCUACUAUUACAUUGAUUUUACUCUAUUAUUAUUAUUAUUAUUAUUAUUAUUAUUAUUAUUAUUAUUAUAUUAUUAUUAUUACAUUUAUUAUUUCACUCUGAUCUUAUUACAGUAGAGUCUCACUUAUCCAACACUCGCUUAUCCAACGUUCUGGAUUAUCCAAGGCAUUUUUGUAGUCAAUGUUUUCAAUAUAUCGUGAUAUUUUGAUGCUAAAUUCAUAAAUAUAGUAAUUACUACAUAGCAUUACUGCGUAUUGAACUACUUUUUCUGCCAAAUUUGUUGUCUAACAUGAUGUUUUGGUGCUUAAUUUGUAAAAUCAUAACCUAAUUUGAUGUUUAGUAGGCUUUUCCUUAAUGCCUCCUUAUUAUCCAACAUAUUCGCUUAUCCAACAUUCUGCUGGCUUAUAUUUGGGUCAGCUUAUACUCGAGAAUAUAUGGUACAUUUAUUAUUUCUCUCUAUUAUUAUUGGUAUUAUUACAUUUAUUAUUUUUCUCUAUUAUUGUUGCUACUAUUACAUUUAUUUUACUCUAUUUUAUUAUUAUUAUUAAUACAUUUAUUAUUUCACUCUAUUUAUUAUUACAUGUAUUAUUUUACUCUAUUAUUAUUAAAAGGAUACAUAACCACAUUGACGUUGAAGAAGAUGAGAAGAAUGAUUGGAUCAGAGUUGGACAGUCUUACCUUAAAUUUGAGCUUUAUGUAAAUAUUCAAAAACAUUGAAGAAGAUGAAAAUAAUGAUUUAAUCAGAGUUAGACAGUCUUAUCUUAAAUUAGAGCUUGAUGUAAAGAUUCAAAAACAUUUAACUUACUGAUGCCUCAAUUAAUGUAAUUUUAUUGAUAUCUAUUUUUGUUUCUGAAAUUUACCACCCUCGGCUUAUACUGGAGUCAAUGUUUUCCCAGUUUUUUGGUGGUAAAAUUAGGUGCCUCGGCUUAUAUUCGGGUCAGCUUAUACUCGAGUAUAUACAGUAUUAUUAUUAUUAUUAUUAUUAUUAUUAUUAUUAUUAUUAUUAUUAUUAUUACCGUCCCGUGCUGAGCCCCACCGUCACCACUUUCCCGCUCGGAUGGAAGUCGGCACAAAGGCCUGUUUCCUAAAAAGAAAAGAGAAAGAGGAACCAUAUGAAGAAACAACAACAACAUUUUUCUGGCAUUUUCUUAUGGGUACCUUAAAAGAAUUCUCCGCUUUUUAAGAGCGGUACCUAUAGUAGAGUCUCACUUAUCCAACAUUCGCUUAUCCAAUGUUCUGGAUUAUCCAACACAUUUUUGUAGUCAGUUUUCAAUACAUCAUGAUAUUUUGGUGCUAAAUUCCCCCCUCUCCCCGCCAAGGUCUAACUGCCAAUCUGGACCAGAAUGAAGAAGACGGGGCCAGGAAGACAUCUUUCCACCAUGUCUCCUGUAUCAAUUUAAUGAUAUAAUAAUAUAUAAUAAUAUUAUACUACAUUAAUAUUAUAAUAUAUUGUACUAGCUGUGCCCGGCCACACGUUGCUGUGGCAAAGUAUGGUGGUAUAGGAAAUAAAGUAUUGAGGAAGUGGUGGUAGUUAAGGUAAAGAGUAAAGGUGUGGAGUCCAGAGAAUCCAGUUAAAGCAGAUAAUCUAUAUAUAUAUAAAAGAGUGAUGGCAUCACGGCAGUGGACAAAACAACAAAAGUAAACACCCCACAACCUCGAAAAUUGACAGCACAACCCCUCAUCCAUGCCUCUAGGUUGAUACAACAAAAAGAAAAGAAAAAUAAAGUCCUAAUUAUAAGGAGAGGAAUAAUUGUUUUUAUCGAAUUGCUGCCAGUUAGAAGGCUAAGCUCCGCUAACUUGGUUUCCUAGCAACCCACUGAGCCCAGGGGACCCUUUACCUUAACUAUCACCAAUUCCUCAAUACUUUAUUUCCCAUACCACCAUACUUUGCCACAGCAACGCGUGGCCGGGCACAGCUAGUAUAAGAUUAUAAAUGGGUUAUAUAGCUGUGUGGAAGGGCCUUGAGUCUACACUGCCAUAUAAUCCAGUUAAGAUCUGAUAAUUUGUAUUUUAUAGGCAGUGUGGAAGAGGCCUAAGUGAGGCCUAACUCUGCCUGUCCCCUGGGUGAGUGGGUUGCAAGGGGACCAAGUGGGCGGAGCUUAGCCUUCUAACUGGCAGCAAUUGGAUAAAAACAAUUAUUCCUCUCCUUCUAAUUAGGACUUUAUUUUUCUUUUCUUUUUGUUGUAUCAACCUAGAGGCGUGGAUGAUGGGUUGUGUUGUCAAUUUUGGAGGUUGGGGGGGUGUUUAGUUUUGUUGUUUUGGCGGCCGCCAGGAUUCCAUCACUCUUUUAUAUAUAUAGAUAUACAUGUAAUAUUAUUAAUAAUAUUAUGAUGCAAUACAAUGUAAUCAGUUGAAACUCGAACUAUCCAAGACCUACUUGCCUUUCGGAAAGCCUGCAAAACCUUUCUCUUCCGACAAGCUUUCGAUGGGUGAAAAACUCAGGGCUAUGUCUAUUUCUAUUGUUAUUUUAAAGCUAAUUGUAUUGUUUUAAUCUAUUUCUGUAAACUCCUCCGAGCCAAACUGGGAGUAGCGGUAUACAAAUCUAAUAAAUAAAUAAAUAAAUAAAAUAAUUGUAUAUUUAUAUUGCAUGCAAUAUUACUAAUAAUAUUGCAAUAUAGUUGUAUAAUAUAAUAUAUUGUGUGUAUAUAUACUUGUAAAUAUACUGAGUCCCCUUCGGGGUGAGAAGGGCGGGAUAUCAAUGUCGCAAAUAAAUAAAUAAUAAAUAAAUAAAUACAGUAAGUAGUACGUAGUAUUACUGCGUAUUGAACUACUGUCAAAUUUGUUGUAUAACAUGAUGUUUUGGUGCUUAAUUUGUAAAAUCAUAACCUAAUUUGAUGUUUAAUAGGCUUUUCCUUAAUCCCUCCUUAUUAUCCAACAUAUUCGCUUAUCCAACAUUCUGCCGGCCCGUUUUUGUUGGAAAAGUGAGACUCUACUGUAUAACCUGAAGUCUAAGGAUUCCUAUAAACAUAAAUCAUAACAACUCAAUAUUACUUCUUGACAAAUGUUCGUCUCAGUUUGUUCCAAUCGGUCCAUUGUCUUGGCAAAAUGCUCUGUGAUACUUUUUGUGUUAAUAAAUCCAUAUGUUUAAUGUCAAUUAGCUUCAGCAUCCAUUUUUCUGUUGUAGGAAUUUCUUGUGUUUUCCAUAGUUUGGCGAUGCAUAUCCUGGCGGCUGUUACCAUGUAUAUAAAAAGUUUUUCCGUGUUGGAGUCCAUUUGAAAAUUGACCAUACCUAAUAGAAAAUAUUCUGGUUUUGUAUUAAAUUUGAUUUGGAGUAUUUUCUUGCCCAGUCUGCUAGGUUGAUCGUAUGACCUAUUUCUCUUGCCCAUUUUGUCAUGACCACUUUUACUUGAUCAUCCUCAGUGUCCCAUCCCAACAGUUGUUGGUAUAAUAUUUUUAUUAUUUUUAUUUCUGUUUUUAGUAUUCUAUCCCAGCAUGUUUCUUUUAGUUCAAAACCUAUUUUUCUAUCCUCUUGGAAGAUUCCCCUUAUUUGCCAAAAGUUUAGCCAUGUCAUUGUGGGUUAGAUUUUUUUUUAAUCUCUUCAUAUGAUUUAAGGCUAACCUCUUGGUUUUCCACUCUUACCGUAGUAUAAAAUAAAUGGUCAUUUUUUCCAACUAUAAAUGUGAAUUCUUCUUCAUGGAAAAAUAAGACAUCCCCUGAAAAUAAGACCUAGCACAUCUUUGGGAGCAAAAAUUAAUAUAAGACACUGUCAUGUUUUCGGGGAAACAUGGUAAUAUUUGCCUGUAAGUCAACCAUGUUUUCCUUGAAACAAGGGAAACAUUGCUGGUCCGUUUAUGUUGGAUAAGUGAGACUCUACUGCAGGGGUCCCCAAACUAAGGCCCGGGGGCCAGAUGCGACCCAUCGAAGCCAUUUAUCCGGCCCACACGGCACAAGGGCAGAAUGGGGUUGGGCUAAAUGACCCAAGAGGUCCCUUCUUCUCUUACAACCCUUAUUAUUAUUAUUAUUAUUAUUAUUAUUAUUAUUAUUAUUAUUAUUAUUGACAUUGAUUCUGGGUGGCUAUCUGUCAGGGAUGCUUUGCUUGUGCUUAUGGUGCACAGAGGCAGAAGGGGGUUGGACUAAAUGGCCCAAGAGGUCUCUUCCAACCCUCUUUAUUAUUAUUAUUAUUAUUAUUAUUAUUAUUAUUAUUAUUAUUAUUAUUAUUAACAUUGAUUCUGGGUGGUCAUCUGUCAGGGGUGCUUUGCUUGUGCUUUCGGUGCACAAAGGCAAAGGGGGAUUGGACUCAAUGGCCCAAAGGGUCUCUUCCAACCCUCUUAUUUAUUAUUAUUAUUGUUACAGUAGAGUCUCACUUAUCCAACAUAAACGGGCCGGCAGAAUGUUGGAUAAGCGAAUAUGUUGGAUAAUAAGGAGGCAUUAAGGAAACGCCUAUUAAAUAUCAAAUUAGGUUAUGAUUUUACAAGUGAAGCACCAAAACAUCAUUUUAGACAACAAAUUUGGCAGAAAAAGUAGUUCAAUACGCAGUAACGCUAUGUAGUAAUUUCUGUAUUUAUGAAUUUAGCACCAAAAUAUCAUGAUAUAUUGAAAACAUUGACUACAAAAAUGUGUUGGAUAAUCCAGAAUGUUGGAUAAGUGAGUGUUGGAUAAGUGAGACUCUACUGUAUUAUUAUUAUUAUUAUUAUUGCUCGGUAGCCAACUAUAGUCCGGCCCUCCAAUGGUCCGAAGGAUCGUGAACUGGCCCCCUGUUUAAAAAGUUUGGGGACCCCUGCUCUACUGUAUUCAUCUACUCACAUUUUGCUUUCGAGCCGCUAGGUAGGUGGAAGCCGGGCUACAGGCCAGGAGCUCACCCUGUGUUAUGAUUGAGCCUCAUGGCUCUGUUACUGGCAGACGUGGGCGUAAGACUCCUCGAGAGUCAGAUACUCUCGAGGAGCGAGAAAGAAAGAGGCUGCGAGAUAUCUUUGCAGAACCAUCUGACGAGGAUUCUUUUGAGGGGUUUACGGAGAGAAUGGAGGAAGAGCUGGUUAGCUCGGAAGAGGAUGAGAUGGAUUGGACUCGGGUAAGGGAGGAAUUGGGUGCCACUGGCAAUGAUGGGAUGGAAGAUGAUUGGGGACCUUCAGGACUAGACCCAUGGACAAGCUGGAGGGAUGGGACGGGAUCCACAGCUGGGGAUGCUGUGGGGCGUAGUCAGAGGUGUUCCAGUUCUGAUGAGGAAAGUGAUGAGGAAACGCCCGGGUUAAGGAGAACAGCUGAUAGUGAUGAGGACUUGUAACUGGCAUAAAAUGGGGUUUGGGAGCAAUUGCAAAUUGCGUUGGGCAAGGUAAUCUGGACGAACGCUUGGGAUCUGUGUGGGACGUUUUCCUGAAGACGGGUGUGUUUCGUGUGCUGACUACGUAAGUUGUUUUGGAAUUUGGGUUCAGACGGCGGGAGGAAUUGUGUGGGCUUUUGUUUGUGCAACCUCUGCUUAAUCUCAAUAGCUUUGACCUUCCGUCGUCUUCUUGACGGACGCCAUCUGCUACUCUGGAUUUACGGACUGAACUGACUACGGGCUCGGAUUCUCCUACCUGGACUUGGUGAACUACAAACGUCUGCUUCUGCCUAUCGACCUUCGGAAAGAACUGGGACUACGCUACUGCUUCAAUCCUCGGCUGUUGUGUUUGUAUUGGGAAUUUGCCUGCUGUGUGGAGGAGUGACUUCUAAGUUACUCAAAACAUAGUGCUGGCAGCAGAGAGGCAUCUGCUGCCAAUUAGUUACAUUCUUUUGAACUCUUUGUUCCCCAGCUUCUGUUUUGUUUAUUCCCAGGCUGAAGCAAGCUGUUUUGAUUUUACCCGGAUUAUACUCCGGUUUAAUCCGGUUUAACUUUUGAAUGUUUUUCUUGCCCCUUUUUGCUUUUUAAGGCCAGCGUUGCCUAGCCCUUGUCUUUUACGGGCAUUUUGAGUUCUGUAAAUCCAAUAAACUCUGUUAUCUUUGA